GCUGCUUCUGUCGCUGUCUGAUAUCCAGCAUGGCUUUCUCCCGCUGCUCGUAGAAGUCGAAAUCCUCGAGGAUAGUUGUCUCGACCUCAUGGUUCUUGAAGAUUGUUAGCAUCUGGAGCCCGUGGUCCAGUCUCACCUGUGAGUUGACAAUGUUAGUUUAGUUACUUGGCUUGUUUUCAUUGUUCUCGAGAAUGAUGUGCCGAAGAAGGCUGUUCGGGACAUCCUUGAUAAUGUGCCAUUUGACAGGAAACUGGCCGCUCCACUUGUCUUGCUGCCAGUAAUCAACACUCUUGUCGAAGUCCACAGGUCCAAUCAUCUCAGCCACACCACAGAACUGGCCGCUGCCAUUAACCUAUAGGGAAAAAAAUAGGACAAGUGGCUUCUUUCUCUUUUGCUUCACGAUAAGCAGCAUCCAACUUUCUGUUACCACUAGCAGUGCUGGCCCAGACACCAUACUUUAUGCUCUUGUGUACAUGAUCUUCGGUAUAGGAUUUUAU
rnacentral:sRNA from 1 species